GACAGAGGUGCCAAGCGUUAGGCGGAAUCACUGGGCUUAAAGCGUGUGUAGGCGGAGUUCUAAGUGCCUUGUGAAAUCCCACGGCUCAACCGUGGAACGGCUGGGUAUACUGGCGGUCUUGGGCCACUCAGGGGCGAGCGGAACAAGUGGUGGAGCGGUGAAAUGCGUAGAUAUCAGGAGGAACACCAAUGGCGAAGGCAGCUCGCUGGGACGUAACUGACGCUGAGACGCGAAAGCGUGGGGAGCAAACAGG
rnacentral:rRNA from 1 species